ACCAAGCAGAGCAUUUUCAUUUAUGUGCUAUUGAAAUCAUUGUUAAUUUGUUCUCUUCUUCGUACGAUAACAUCAAGAGCGAAAAUGCCUACUCAACUGACCCUGUUUGAAAUUGGAGUGGCGUUUCUGGUUUUGAUGAUCGUAGGGUUGAUUACGUGCUGCAUACAGCAAGGAUGGUGUUCUUCGAGAGCCGAGAACUCAAGGCAGGCGAACGGCUACGACGAUAUCGACAUACGCAUCAUACUCGUGCAGGACGGCCCUACUGCUCGUCCUGGUGUUCUCGGAACCAGCAAUGUGUCUACGUCACAACAUUGUUCUGGAUGCGGAUGUCAAGUGUGGUCAAUUGAUGAAGACACUGGGCAGAACACACAGAACCAAGUGAAUCCAAUACGUUUCAGUAACACAGUAGAGCUGAUAGAAGAUAUUCAAUAUGAGUUGUAAUACAAACUGUAAGAUUUAUAAGCACUUAACAAUCGAAAUGUCUUUAUUUGUACUCAAUACUAUUCUAAAUAUACUUUAAAAUUGA